CCUACGGGGGGCUGCAGUGGGGAAUAUUGGACAAUGGGGGCAACCCUGAUCCAGCCAUGCCGCGUGUGUGAAGAAGGCCCUCGGGUUGUAAAGCACUUUCAGUGAGGAAGAACGCCUGGUGGUUAAUACCCAUCAGGAAAGACAUCACUCACAGAAGAAGCACCGGCUAACUCCGUGCCAGCAGCCGCGGUAAUACGGAGGGUGCGAGCGUUAAUCGGAAUUACUGGGCGUAAAGCGCGCGUAGGUGGCUUGAUAAGCCGGUUGUGAAAGCCCCGGGCUCAACCUGGGAACGGCAUCCGGAACUGUCAAGCUAGAGUGCAGGAGAGGAAGGUAGAAUUCCCGGUGUAGAGGUGAAAUGCGUAGAGAUCGGGAGGAAUACCAGUGGCGAAGGCGGCCUUCUGGACUGACACUGACACUGAGGUGCGAAAGCGUGGGUAGCAAACAGGAUUAGAUACCCUAGUAGUC
rnacentral:rRNA from 1 species